rnacentral:rRNA from 1 species
AUGCUGUCGGGGGAGAGGAUCUUGCCGCCGGCAACCAGCCUCGCCGCAUUUGGCCUCCCCAGGUACCCACACCCCUGUAGCCCCCUGAUUUUCCUCCUACCCCCUCCCUCCCCACUCCCGUUCGAAAUCGAAAUCAAAGAGAGGCAAAGCAAAUCGCACCAUGCAAAACACAGAGAGCGCCGCCAUUUCCAUCUUCCGGCGAACUCCAAAAGCGAGCGAGCGAUUCCCAUGAGAGGAGAGGAGGCGGAGAUGGCCAAGGGCGAGGGGCCGGCGAUCGGCAUCGACCUCGGGAUGACCUACUCCUGCGUCGGCGUCUGGCAGCAUGACCGAGUUGAGAUCAUCGCCAACGACCAGGGCAACCGCACCACGCCCUCCUACGUCAACUUCACCGACACCGAGCGCCUCAUCGGCGACGCCGCCAAGAACCAGGUCGCCAUGAACCCCACAAACACCGUCUUCGAUUUAGAUGCACUUGCGGAGUAA